UUAAUGUGAGCAAAAGUAGGAGCCGGCUCCGUGAUAUCUGGGUAGGUCCUCAGGCUUGAGCAACCACACAAAUCAAGCUUCCUCAACUUCAAAUUGAAAAUGGUGCUUGGAAAAGUUUGAAGUGAAUUACAGUGGGUAAGGUCUAACUUGCAUAGUCCGGUGAGGCUUCCAAUGGAAGAUGGAAUAAUCUCAAGAUUCAAGCAACGGUGCAAACUCAGUUCUUCAAGCCCUACCAAACGUGUCCAAGAUGAAGGUAGUGCCUGUAUGGCUGUGUCGUCUAAGAUGAGCACCGUUAAAUCUUCCAACGUGUCCUGAAUCUCGGGUAAAUUUUCCAAUUUUGAGCAACCCCGGAGAGAAAGUUGCUUUAGGAAUUUCAUAUCAGAAAGAUGAAAUGGAAAGAUUGUAAGAGAAGAACAGUGAGAGAGAUCUAAGCGAUAGAACUGCUUGCGACUAAAGGUUAAGGACACACCUUCCUUGAGUUUUGUGAACACUUUUAAGUGUAUGGUAUUAUUAGCCACUUCUUCUUCCUUAUAUCUGUCAAAAGUAAUUGAGAAAAUUUGACUGGAAGUUGGGAAAAGACCAUGGCGUCGACGUUUACGACGCCGUCGUGAGAAAUUGAUCUCUUUCAUCAUAUCCGGUUCCAGACGAGGGAAUCUUGAGAAAGUUUGACGUUGACGCUCGAGUAUGACAUGAGGGAAUCUGGGUUCACUGGUUGAAAACAUAUUAAGCUUCGGACAACGGGAAAUAUUAAUCCAUCCUGGUGAUGUGGAUAAAAUGUUGCUGGGAAUAUUUACACUUUCGAGAUUAGAACAAUUAUCUAAACAUAAAUAACUGAGCUUGGUGAGGAAUAUCGAGGAGUGAACUUCAAUCAACUUUUCACAAGAACUCAGAAUUAUUUCUUCAAUAUUUGGUGACAUAGAAAGGUCUGGUAUUCUAGUAAGUUUCAGAGAACCAGUCAGGUCGACCCUUUUCAACUUGGGUAAAUUCUGCCACAAAUACUAAAUGAAUGAGGUAACAAAUAAAAACUACUUUAUCUAUUUUUCUUCGGUAAACUAAUUUAUUUUUCAGAAAUGAUGAAAAUUAUAACUAAACUAUAUAAAAUUCCAUUUUAUUCUACUCAUCCUUAAUUUUUUUGUGAAAUCUUGAUUUUGGGAUAAUAUCACUUAAACUUAAGAAAUAUUUGGCAUUAAUGAACUCUAAACAAAUUCAUAUAAGAUAUACAUCACUUUCAAUCCAAAAUCUUAAACUAAUAGGUUUAUGAAUUUUCUUUAUAUGUUGUUUUAAAAAGUUGAGACUAAAUUGAACUUUUGAAAAUUGGGAGGAUGAAAUUAUAUUUUGUCUAUUAAUAUAGGGAUUAAAAAAAUAAUUGAAUCAAAUAUUACUAUUUUUGUGAUGUAUAUUUAUAUAUAAAUAAUUUUGAGAAUUUAGAGUUAUAUCAUAUAUAUAUAUAUAUAUAAAAUUCUUUUUGGUAAUGUAUCCUGUAAUUGUAAGCAAGUAUGAUUAUAUUAAGUGGGUGCGUUUCAAAUAGAGGAGACUACGCACAUACAAAUAUCUCUUAUAAAGUAAGAAAACAAACAAACCGUUACUCAAGAAGAUCAUGUAAUGCAUGACAGACAACAUGGGGAGAUAUCUAUCAUCAAUAAUAAAACGAUGUUUUCUGAGAGUUAAAAUUAAACCUUAUUUAAAAUAAGUCCAUCUUUCCAUAUUUUAUAAUUUGUUGUAUAUUAUAUUGAAGUUUAUGUUAUAAUAAAAAAAAUGACUUAAUUAAUCAAAUAAUGUGGAGAAGGCACAAAGGAAUUGCAAAUGAAAACCAGUAGAUGUAUAAUACAGAAAACAUGCUUGUAUAACUUAUUUUUGUCUUUGAAAGUUUAGAACACAAAGAAACAUAGAUAGCUUGAAAAACCUGAUCUCCUUCCCAAAGUUGUUCAAGAUUGCAGCCUGGCAUUUUGAGGGUCACUAGACUUUGUGGGCAAAAGUUUGGAGGCCAAAAUCUUUGAAGGAAAUUGUCCCAAUAAAGAAUCUUUAAAGUGUCCGGCAGAUCUACAAGAGAUGAUUCAAGAGACUCAUAAGAUUGUCCAUCUUUUCGAAACUUUGUGCAUGUACUACAGCAUCUUUUACUUUGUUCGUAUGUAGUAAUAUACACUGUAUUGCAUCUGACCCCUGAAAGUAAAUCAAUGUAAUUAGAAGAAAAAAACAUGAAAUGUUGCAUUGCAGGAUGUUUGAUGACAGCUCAGUGGUUUGCAAUUUUUCACAAAGUAAAUCCAUGUUCAAUUGAGUAACGACAUAAUACCUUGUUCUUUCUUAAAACCUCUCAAAUUUCCUCAGCAUUAAACAAUCGGCUGCGUUUUCCAGGAUGCUGAGGACACUCUUUACGAACAAUUUCUUGACUCAUUUCUUGUAUUAGAUCGUGCAUCACAAUUCUACCAUCAAAGACAGAUAUUAGGCCCCUAUCUUUGAGAAUAUCCAUUCCAAUCUUAGAAGAGAAACCACAGUCAGCAAGUGUUUCUGCUACCACAAUCUCCUGGCGUCCUCUAUAAAAGCAAGCUAUGUCAAGAAAUAUAUUCUUCUCCUCCUCCUCCAGCCCAUCAUAACUUAAUUUUAAUACAUUGAAAAUAUCAAGAUGUUGGCCCUUUUCCAACUUUUGCAACUGACUCUCCCAUGCUUCUCUUGUUCUGCCAUAAAGCAAUGACCCCAAAAUCUAGAGAGCUAAUGGAAUCCCUUUUGCAUAUCUCAACACCUUUUCUGACAGUUCCCUGUAAGCAAUUUCUUCUGAAGAUUUUUGUUUAAAAGCAAGUAAACUAAAAAGUUUCUGAGAAUCAUCAAAAUUCAACUCCUUAACUUCGUAGAUAUCAUCAGCUCUAGCAUUCUUAAGCACUUGUUUGUCUCUACUGGUGAUAAUCAUUCUACUGCCCUGCCCAAAACUAUCACUCCCUCCUAUUAAUUUUUUAAGUAGAGCUGAAUCGGUAACAUCAUCAAGAAUGAGGAGAGCCUUUGUCCGUUUCAGCCUUUCAUUGUAAUAUGAUAAACCAUGGGAUUUCUUUAUCUCUUCCUUUAGAAGCUCAGACAGAUAUUUUGUUCUGAUACUGUCUAUUCCAUCUUUUUGUAUUUUUUCUUGAACGUCUAAAACAAGGCUGCUGGAACCAAACUGCAAAGCCAAUGUGUGAUAUAUUUGAUAACAAAUUGUAGUUUUUCCUAUUCCUCCCAUGCCACAAAUUCCUAUGAUCCGAACAUGCGGUGACUCAAGAUGCAACAAGGACUGAAUUCCUUCAAUGUGUUUUUCAAUGCCGAUGAUUCCUUGAUCAUAACUGGUGGAAUAACGAUUCAAUUUUCUCAAAAUAUCUUCCACAAUUUCUUCAACAAGUGUGUGUUCUGGCCUGGCAGAUGAUUUAGAAAAUAAAGUAUAAGUAUUCAAGCACAAAAGCUAAACUAAACUAAAGAAAAAAUCAGAGUUAAGAGGAGUGAACAUCAUUGAAUAGAUUCACAUAUCGAUUCUAGUUUCGAGUUUUGGAUAAAAUAAAUAAAUUAAAAAGUUGAAGGUAAGUAUAGGACGUUAUCUUCGUAUAUUAGUUUGGUUGGUUUAGAAAUUGCAAAUCAAGAUGGCAAAAAUACUACAGUAACCGUUUGUGACUUCUGAUAAUAGGGAGCAGAUUUGUAGGUACAAAGUUAAGCUAUAACAUGUGAUAUGGUUCAGAUCCAUGACCGACUAAAAGAAAGACUUGAUUUAUGGUGAGAUGAACACAAUUUUAGUAAAUGAAAAGAAAUCCUGUUUAUCUCGAAAUUAUCUAAUAAAUAUAAUGACCUGGUGACUUUUGAAUCCCAGCCUGAAAGUCCAGCAGCUUCGGUGAGAGCAUCCUUCCAUCCUUGCGCUUUGACCAUGUCGUGCAUAAACCGCUGUUCAUGAUCAUCGAAUGAUUCUUUGUAUCUUUCUUCCUGCUUCCUAAUAGUUGAUGGAUCCACCUUGUAGAAAACAGGUAUCACAUCCCUUCCAAAUCUCUUCUUGCAUUCAAGUAUCUUACUGAGUUCAUUCAAGCACCAAGUGGAAGAUGCAUAGUUUUGGGAGAAAACGAUGACAUAAAUCUUUGAUUCUUCUAUUGCAGAGAGCAGUGCAGGUGAAAUUUCUUCGCCCCUGAGUAGUCUAUAAUCAAUAUAUGCUUCAAUGUUCUUCCUUUGCAGUGCUGCAUAAAGGUGGCUAAUGAAGUUGUCACGUGUGUCUUCGCCUCUGAAGCUGAGAAACACAUCAUGCCUUGUUAGAGAAGUAGACACGGCCAAUGAUGAAGGACUUUCUGACAUUGGAGUCAAUUUUCUCUCCUUUCUCUGCAAUUCUCAGGUCUCUUUCUUUGUACUGUUUCUACCACAAAUCUACUCUGCUGCUCUGGACUCAUUAUAAAACACAAGUCAACUUUUGAAAAAGUCUUUCAAUUUUCUUAACAUUCCUUUCACAGAUAUGUGUUCUGGUCAGACAUCGUAGUCAGCAGAAACUAAAGAAAAAGAAAAAUAUUAAUUUAAUAGAAUAGUCAACAAAUUGCAAAAUAAGUAUGGAAUCUAGAUUUAUAUCAUUAUCACGUGUGGAAACAUAGCUACGUCUUCUUAGAUAAAAUCCUUAUUUAAGUUUUAAUUGGGCCUUGUAGUGGGCUUUGUAAUCUGCUUUUCUUUUCUCCUAUAUUGCUUUAUAUAUACACCUCCACUUUUGCUUUCUACAUUUCAUUUUACAAAAUACAUUCUCUCAUUCUGUGUCAUUUAUCUUGCCUGAUUCCGUCCUCUCUUUAUCUUUUUCUCUCAUCCUCUUGCUUAUAAUUCUUUUGUUUUUAUUAAGAAAUACACUAUAAUUCUAAUUUAAUCAUAUACUAUAAUUAUGCUAAUCAUCAAUUAGUACUAUAUAUUAUUAAUGAUCUGCGUAUAUAUUAUUUAUGAUUUGCGGAUAAGACAAUAGAUUCAAUAAAUUCUAGAUAAAAUAAAUUUUAAAUGAAUAUGAUAAAAAUAUAUUAAAAAAUGAACUUUAUUGAAUCGAUUGAGUAUCUCUAUUUUAAAGACUUGUAAGAAUAAUAGGAAUAACAAUAUAUUAAUAUUAAUAUGUUUCUUAAUAAAUUUCAUACCCACUAUCUAUUUAUAAAUUAAUAUAUUAUAAAUAUCUAAUGAUGUCUUAUUUCUCUAACAUUUAAAAUUAAAUUUGUAGAUUCUACAAAACAUUACAUUUUGAUUUUAAUAUUUAUAAAAUAUUUUUUAUUCUCAUAUUUAAAAAACAAAACUUAGUUUGAGUGUAUUCCUUAGUUACUUACUACUCAUCACCAGCCGCCAACAGCGUGAUGGCUUCACUCUCCGUUCGCGCCACAACCACCUCUUAUCGGGCCUCCUUCCGGCCCAAGCCCACCUCGGGGCCCACCAGGGUCCGAAUGUCCCUCCGCGAUGACGGCCCCGCCAUCGCCGUCGUCGGCGUCACCGGCGCCGUUGGCGAGGAGUUCCUCUCCGACCGCGACUUCCCCUACCGUUCCAUCAAAAUGCUGGCCUCGCAGCUCUCCGCCGGCCGCCGCAUCAUCUUCGAGGACAGGGACUACGUCGUGGAGGAGCUCACAGCGGAUAGCUUCGACGGCGUCGACAUUGCGCUCUUUAGCGCCGGCGGUGGUAGACUAUAGCUCCGCAUUUGGGAUGGACGAGAAGGUGACGCUGGUUAUUCCCGAAGUGAAGCCCCAAACGAUGCAACACAUCAAAGUUGGAACGGGAAAAGGCGCUCUGAUUGCGAACCCUAAUUGCUCCACCAUUAUUUGCUUGAUGGACAUACUAAUUAAUAUCAAUUAUAACAAAUAAUGAACGUUUCUGGUCAUUUCUUGUACUUCGCGUUAUUUCAUAACAGUAGUUUUUUUAAAUAAAUUAAGAAAAAUAUUCAUUUUUAAAUUUAAUGCACUUUUAAAUAAUUUGACUAUUAUAAACAUAAUCACUUAUAAAAAUAAUUUUAGAGUAGUUGAUAUAAUUAAAAUAAAAUAUUUUAUUAUUAAAGUAAAAAUUAUAUAUAAAUAAAAAAUAGGUUUUAUUUUAAAAUAAUAUUCAAUUUUAUAAAAGUUUUUUCUUUUUGUCUUUUUUUUUUUAUAUUUCUAACCAUAUUUUUUCGUGAGGUUGAUAAUAGAAUCUCACUUUGGAUUUAUGGGAAUGAAUAAUGAAUUAGUUUUUAGUUUUCUAUUUAUCUAUAUAUAAAGGUGAUACGGUGACAAAUUCCAAAAUUUUAUUAUAAUGUUUGCUUUGUUGAUUGAAAUAGAUGUUAAUUGAUGAAAAAGAUUGAAAGUUUUAAACCCAAUACACCCCUCACGUCGAGGUUAGGUGGACUGAUAAGUUCAGCAAAAUCUCGUUAUGAUAGUUUUUAGAUGACUCUGAUACCACAAUAAAAAAUAAACUUUAAAUUUAACUCAACCUUACAAAACUAAUUUAUAAAGUGAGCUAUGUAUCCCUAGUCGAUGUAGAAUCUCUAACAAUGAUUUAAAUGAAUUGUUAUAUGCUUUAUGAAGUUUAACCUUUAUUUUUACUUGACAAAUUGGAUUUUAAUGAGGUAUAUAUGCUCUCAGCAUCAAAUCCGCUUAACGAAAUUUAUAUGUGUCAAGCGAAUUUGGACAUGUAGAGUUUGAUGUGCUCUUGGCCUCAAAUCCGCUCAAUGUUUUUUUUUCCUGUACUUAAGCAAACUUACAUCCAGAUUUUGGAGUACUUUCGAACUCAAAUUUGCUCAAAGAAAUUUUCUUAUGGUAAGCAAAUUUAAGCGGCUAUUGUUUGGAUGUUCUCUGCCUCAAAUUCGUUCAGUGAAAUUUUCCUGUGCUAAGGAGAUUUCUCUGGGCUUAAGCCCCAACUUCAUGGGCUCGACCCAUUUUGACGACAUUUGUCAUCUUUGCUUAGAUAUCUUUUGGUUUGUUUUCUAUAGGUCAUGAAAUUGAAUUAAAUCUUUUGAAAUUUAUCAUUUUGUAAAUUGUAAGUGAUUACAACUUUCUAAUGUUCAUGCAACAUGUGUUUAAAAUAAGUAAAUCUAACAAAUAAAUACUCGUUACAUAUUCAAUGGAAAGCUUUUUCUUUUAAUUCUUUGGUGUUUUAUUUUGAUGAUGUAUAUAUUUGAAAAUCAAUGUAUGAAUGGAUAAUGCUUUAUGAUAUAAUAAUAUUACAAUGUAAAUGUUAUUUAUAUACUAUCACAUGAUAAAUUAAAAUUUAAUAAGAUAGUUAAGGAUGUUAUAAUUAUUCUUUUAAUUUAUUUUAUUUCACUGUAUAUUUAGGUGUAUUACGUAGAAUGUAUAGUUAAAAAAAUAAUGUUAUUUUGAAAUUUAAAGAAUGACGUAUAGAAAUAAACAAGCUUUUGUUAAAAUUAUACUAUUUGAAAAGGAACACAGAACAAUAUUGACAAUUAUACUUUUACUUAUUACUUAUUUUAAUUUAUUAUAUUCAUGAGUAUUAUUUUUUUUAAACAUAGAUAUUGGAUAAAAAAUAUAAAUAACAUUUAUUUAUUUCAAAUUUAAAAAUCUUUAAAAUAAAAUUAAAUAAUAUUUUUAAUUAAGAUGUGUUUUUUAACAAUUUUUUUAAUUUAAAAAAUAAUUAAUUCGGAGGAUGAUUAAAGAAAUAUUAACAAAUUAUUUCUGCGUUUAUAAUAAACCUUCAAUAAUAUUUGUACUUUCUAGCAUAUAGAAUACUUAAUGGAUCCCUUUGUGAUUUUUCUUUUCUAAAGUGCAAUUGAUAUUUUAAAUGUUUUUCUAUUUAAUUUUCCUUUCUUAAUGACACAUUAAAGGGUUCAGUGCACGAUUAAUUAUUCUCACCUUAGAUUUCAUUCAUCUCAUUCCAUUUCCACACUCAAAUCAUUCUCACAUUUUUUUCUACCUAUUUCACAAAGUUUUAUGUAAAAUAUGGAAAUUAAACUAAAAGAACCCUACUUAUAUAUUAAUAUUCAACAACUUAAAAUAUUACUAUGCAAAUUAAUCUUUCUUAAUAAUGUUAUGUAAAAAUUAAAAUGUAGUUUAGUCAUUCAUACUUAGAUGGAUAAAGAUGGUUUUAGAAAAAAAAUGCAUUUUAUUUCAAAUCUAUUACUUAUAAAAUGAGUUAUAAAAUGAGGUUUGUGAUAUUUAUUCAAAAUUUAAAUUAUAUUAUGCAUUUAUGGUUUUAUGUUUUUAAAGAAAUCAGAAACUUAGAAAAGCUCCUAAAAACUACUGAAAUCCAUAAGAUGAUAAUUAAUAAACAUCCUCUCUUAAUAACAUAACAUAUAAGAUAGGAGUCUUUACACUUAUAUUCUUCAAACAAUUAUAAGCUGUCUUCAACUUUACUGUUAAACUACAAUUAUAAAGAAUUAACAAUCUCACACACCAACAACAUUUAUAAGCCAUCACUCACAUGAAACAAGGUGCCUCAAUGUGAAAAAACCAAGAUCAAUAAGAAAUGAGGUUCCACUUAACCAAGCUGAGAAUUUUCUGGUUUUCCAACUCCAUGCACAAACCUAAUACAAUGAUAUGAUAUUCAAUCAGCAUUAAUUGGCAUAAACAGGUACAUUGUUGUAAAACUGGGAUUAUAAGGUUCCAUAGGAUGGAGAAAAGUAAGAAGAGGAUUUACCAAUUACCCUUUCAAAUGGAGCUCCUCAGGAUUUCAUAAUGCCUUCACUGCAAAUGCAACCCAAAUAUGCUAAAAAAGUUAAUGAAACUAUAUAUGAAGAGUUUCAAGAAAAUGCAACUCUGGGACAACAGAGAAACCCAUCUCAUGCUGAACAGAAACAUCAAACUAUAUCUAACAAUAACUUAGAAAUCUUUGUCAACAAUUGAACGAACCCACUCCUAAAAUGCCAUUGAAAAUGUAAAUAAAACAAAAUAAAUUAAAAACGAGAAAUUCAUAAUAAAAAUUCAACGUGUUGAAACUUAUGAUAACUCAGUUUAGAUCCUGACCAAUGAAAGACUAAUUAGCAGAAGAGGAAGAGACUAGUUGACAGGGUAGCUUUCGGCCUUUCUCUUCCUAUCUUUCCUUGUUUCUCUUGAAGACUGUGCAACAUUGCUUCCACUGGAUUCUUCAAUGUCAACAUCACCACCAUAUUUAUCAUCUUUCUUUUUGGUAUAAAGGGGGCAUAUGCCGCAUUCUUUUAUUGUGAUGUCUGAUGCCAUCACUCUCACACCUGAUUUGUAACUAUACAGACUGAUCUCAAAAGUGAAGCUGCGAGCAUCACAGACCCUAAGGCUCUUGCGGCUCGCCGUUAGGGACUCCAUGUUAAAUUUCCACACGAAUGUGUGAUCUUCAUCAACACAUCUGUGUUCACCAUUCCAUUUGAAAUAGCUGUUUAACACAUCAUUAUUUAGAAUGAUCUGUGUGCCAUCAUCAUCAUCAGAUUCAAAUUUUAGACUGUAACCAAAAGAACCAUAUCUACAUUUAACAGCUUUCGUAUCUAACACUCCAAAAACCACACACAAAGCGAAACCAGUGAGCCUAUCAUCGCUGCAGAAACUUAAAUCUUCAUUUAUAGUCACUGAAUGUCCCUUCCCACGAGAAUGGAACCAACGAGGAACUGCAUUCCCUGGAAAACAGAAGAACACAGACCUAUAUGCAUCGUCGGUCAUCCUAACCCAUGCAUCCUCCUCAAUGUUAGCACGAGCACCUGAAUCCAGUUGCUGAGCAUUGGUGAAAUGAAAUUUGAAGACACCCUCUUUGGAGUUUGAGAAGUUUGGAACAAGAGAAUUUGACAUCACUCUUCUGAUGGAUGGGCAAUCCAAUGCCACGAGUUGUUUUAGAAAUGGUGGAAUCUGUGGGAUGGAUUCAAGUUUUUUGCAGUCGCUUAAAUCGAGCGAGUUCAAGCUUGAAAGAUGAGCAAUGCUCUCAGGAAGGUUCACGAUUCCGCUAUCACGCAGUGACAGUUCCAUUAAUGACGUCAAGCGACCGAUGUGGCUUGGGAUUUCUGUUAAUUUGGCACACCCCGAACAAUCAAGUUUAGAGAGAAGCUUCAGAUUAACAAUGGAGUUUGGAAGUGACUCGAGAUGAAUGCACUCUUGGAGUUCCAGGGAUCGAAGAUUAACGAAAUUGCCAAAUGAGGAAGGCAGUUCUUUAACAGCCGUAGAUGUUAAGUUAAUGUGAGCAAAAGUAUGAGCCGGCUCCGCGAUCUCUGGGAAGGUCCUCAGCCUUGAGCAACCACGCAAAUCAAGGUUCCUCAACUUCAAAUUGAAAAUGGUGCUUGGAAAAGUUUGAAGUGAAUUACAGUGGGUAAGGUCUAACUUGCAUAGUCUGGUGAGGGUUCCAAUGGAAGAUGGAAUAAUCUCAAGAUUCAAGCAACUGCGCAAACUCAGUCCUUGAAGCCCUACCAAACGGCACAAGGAUGAAGGUAGUGCCUGUAUGGCUGUGCCGUCUAAGAUGAGCACCACUAGAUCUUCCAACGUGUCCUGAAUCUCGGGUAAAUUUUCCAAUUUUGAGCAACCACUGAGAGAAAGUUUCUUUAUGAAUUUCAUAUCAGAAAGGUGAAAUGGAAAGAUUGUAAGGGAAGAACAGUGAGAGAGAUCUAAGUAACAGAGCUUCUUGCGAUUAAAGUUGAAGUGACAGAGCUUCAUGAGUUUUGUGAACACUUUAAAACAUAUAGUAUCAUUAGCCACUUCUUCUUCCUUAUAUCUGUCAAAAGUAAUUGAGAAAAUUUCACUGGAAGUUGGGAAAAAAGGACCACGGUGUCGACGUUUACCACGCCGUCCUGAGAAAUUCGUCAUAUCCGGUUCCUGACGAGGGAAUAUUGAGAAAGUUUGAAGUUGACGCUCCAGUAUCACAUGAGGGAAUCUGGGUUUACUGAUCGAAAACAUAUUAAGCUUCGGACAACGGGAAAGAGUAAUCCAUCCUGGUGAUGUGGAUAAAAUGUUGCUGGGAAUAUUUACACUAUUCAGAUCAUUACAAUCAUCUAAACAUAAACAACUGAGCUUGUUGAGGAAUAUCCAAGAGUGAACUUCAAUCAACUUUUCACAACUUUUCAGAAUUAUUUCUUCAAUAUUUGGUGACAUAGAAAGGUCUGGUAUUCUAGUAAGUUUCCGAGAAUAACUCAGGUCGAGCCUUUUCAAGUUGGGUAAAUUCUGCCACAAAUAGGAAAUGAAUGAGGUAACAAAUAAAAACUACUUUAUCUAUUUUUCUUCGGUAAAAUAUUAGCUACAUCAUCUAAUCUAUUCACUUUAUAUUUUACAUUACUUCAAAACCACUGUUAAAAAAAAUCACACUGUCAACUAACAAAACUGUGGCUAUAAAUUUAAUAGUUAUUAUAAAAAACCACAAAAUUUAACGUGUUUUUGUUCCCUACCUCAAAUUACAUCCUAAUAAUUUGAACCUAAACUUAUUAUGUAUUUAAAAACUGAUGAUAGUAAUUUAUAAUCGAUGACAGUGUGGAAAUACUUUAUAUCAUGCAUGUAUCAACUGACAAAAUAAAAUGGUGUUGUCUGAUGAUAGUAAUUUAUAAUCGAUGACCAUCUUUCCAUAAUUUAUUUUAUUAAAUACAUAAUUUGUUGUAUAUUAUAUUGAAGUUUAUGUUAUAAUAAUAAAAAAAUACUUAAUUAGGUUUUGAGUAUCCAGUAAGACAUUUUUAAUUAAUUUUUUUAUUAAAUUUUUUAAUUAUUUAAGUACUCAAAUUUUUUAUAUUUCCAAUAGAAUAUAUGUCAUUUUUAAUUUUUGAGUUAAUUGGGUGAUACAGAAAUUAUCUUGUCACAUGAUCUUACUUACUUGUCUUUAUGUAUUAAGGAAUAUGAAGUUUUAUGAUUGGCCAUUAGACUAUAUACCUAAAAAGAGGAUGCAAACUCUUCUACAUGCUACUAAAUUUAUAACUAUCUUUAAUUAGAAACAUGCUGAGUAUGAUUCUUAUGAUAUAUGUAUAACUGUGUGGUUCAAAUAAAAGAAAUUUCAAAUCGAAUAAUGUGGAGAAGCACAAAGGAAUUGCAAAUGAAAACCAGUAGAUGUAUAAUACAGAAAACAUGCUUGUAUAACUUAUUUUUGUCUUUGAAAGUUUAGAACACAAAGAAACAUAGAUAGCUUGAAAAACCUGAUCUCCUUCCCAGAGUUGUUCAAGAUGGCAGUAUGGCAUUUCGAGGGUCACUAGAUUUUGCGGGCAAAAGUUUGGAGGCAAAGAUCUUUGAGGGAAAUGUUUCCAAUAAAGAAUCUUUAGAGUGUCUGGCAGACCUACAAUAGAUGAUUCAAGAGACACAUUUGACGUGUAUUUUGGCGUGUUGAGCAUAAGCAUCCUAAGAUUGUCCAUCUUUUCGAAACUUUGUGCAUGUACUACAACUUCAUUUACUUUGCUCGUAUCUAGUGAUAUACACUGUAUUGCAUCUAACCCCUGAAAGUAAAUCAAUGUAAUUAGAAAAAAAAAGCAUGAAAUGUUGCUGUAUGGUUAUGGGCAGAUUGAUGAGAUAUGGUAACCUUCGGAUACUGAUCAUGAAGUGACAUAAAGGAGAAGGAAGCGUUACUGAAGGAGAGUAAUGGAAAUUUAUGAGAAAUUAAGCCGUUGGUUACAGAGACUAGGUAGGGACCGAGUCAUCUAUACCAGGGACCGAGUCAUCUAUAAGAGGAGGCAGAGACGAAGAGUAGGGGUAGGAAAAAAAGAUAUGGUUUUUAUAUUAUCUUUGAUGCUCUAGCUAAGGAUCAUCUGUCCUAAAACAGUUGCAUUUCUGGAUGUUUAAUGACAGCUCAAUAGUUUGCAGUUUUUUCACAAAGUAACAACAGAAUAUACCUUGUUUUUUCUUAAAACAUCACAAAUUUCCUCAGCAUUAAACAGUCGGCUGCGUUUUCCAGGAUGCCGACGACACUCUUUACGAACAAUUUCUUGACCCAUUUCUUGUAUUAGAUCGUGCAUCAUAAUAAUACCAUUAAAGACAGAUAUUAGGCACCUAUCUUUGAGAACAUCCAUUACAAUCUUAGUAGAGAAACCAUUGCAGUCAUCAAGUAUUUCUGCCAGCACAAUCUCCUGGUAUCCUCUAUAAAAGCAAGCAAUGUCAAGAAAUAUAUUCUUCUCCACCUCCUCGAGCCCAUCAUAACUUAAUUUUAAUACAUUGAAAAUACCAUGAUGUUGGCCCUUUUUCAACUUUUGCAACUGACUUUCCCAUGCUUCUUUUGUUCUGUCACAAAGCAAUGAGCCCAAAAUCUGGAGAGCUAACGGAAUCCCUUUUGCAUAACUCAACACCUUUCCUGACAGUUCCUUGUAAGCAAUUUCUUCUGAAGAUUUUUGUUUAAAAGCAUGUAAACUAAAAAGUCUUAGAGAAUCAUCAGAAUUCAACUCCUUAACUUCGUAGAUAUCAUCAGCUCUAGCAUUCUUAAGCACUUGUCUGUCUCUACUGGUCAUAAUGAUUCUACUGCCCUGCCUAAAACUAUCACUCCAUCCUAUUAAUUUUUGAAGUUGAGCUGAAUCGGUAACAUCAUCAAGAAUGAGGAGAGCCUUUGUCCGUUUGAGCCUUUCUUUGUAAUAUGGUAAAGAAGAAGAUUUCUCUUCCUUUAGAAGCUCAGACAGAUAUUUUGUUCUGAUACUAUCUAUUCCAUCUCUUUGUAUUUUUUCUUGAACGUCUAAAACAAGGCUGCUGGAAUCAAACUGCAAUGCCAAUUUCUGAUAUAUUUGAUCACAAAUUGUACUUUUUCCUAUUCCUCCCAUGCCCCAAAUUCCUAUGAUCCGAACAUCCGGUGACUCAGGAUGCAACAAGGACUGAAUUCCUUCAAUAUGUUUUUGAAUGCCGAUGAUUCCUUGAUCAUAACUGGUGGAAUAAAGAUUCAAUUUUCCCAAAAUAUCUUCCACAAUUUUUUCAACAAGUUUGUGGUCAUUCCUGGCAGAUGAUUUAGAAAAUAAAGUAUAAGAAUUCAAGCACAAAAGCUAAACUAAACUAAAGAAAAAUUCAGAGUCAAGAGGAGUGAACAUCAUUGAAUAGAUUCACAUAUCGAUUCUAGUUUCGAGUUCUGGAUAAAAUAAAUAAAUUAAAAAGUUGAAGGUAAGUUUAGGACGUUAUCUUCCUAUAUUAGUUUGGUUGGUUUAGUAAUUGCAAAUCAAGAUCGCAGAAAUUCUACAGUAACCGUAUGUGACUUCUGAUAAUAGGGAGCAGAUUUGUAGGUACAAAGUUAAGCUAUAACAUGUGAUAUGGUUCAGAUCCAUGACCGACUAAGAGAAAUGAAAAAAGAAACACUUGAUUUAUGGUGAGAUGAACACAAUUUUAGUAAAUGAAAAGAGAUCCUGAUUAUCUAAUAAAUAUAAUGACCUGGUGACUUUUGAAUCCCAGCCUGCAAGUUCAGCAGCUUCGGUUAGAGCAUCCUUCCAUCCUUGCACUCUGUCCAUGUCGUGCUUAAGCCGCUGUUCAUGCUCAUCAAAUGCUUCUUUGAAUCUUUGUUCCUGCUUCCUAAUAGUUGAUGGAUCCACCUUGUAGAAAACAGGUAUCACAUCCCUUCCAUAUCUCUUCUUGCAUUCAAGUAUCUUAGUGAGUUCAUUCAAGCACCAAGUGGAAGAUGCAUAGUUUUGGGAGAAAACGAUGACAUAAAUCUUUGAUUCUUCUAUUGCAGAGAGUAGUGCAGGUGAAAUUUCUUCGCCCCGGGGUAGUCUCUCGUCAAUAUAUGCUUGAAUGUUCUUCCUUUGCAGUGCUGCAUGAAGGUGACGAAUGAAGUUGUCACGUGUGUCUUCCCCUCUGAAGCUGAGAAACACAUCAUGCUUUGUUAGAGAAGCAGACACGGGGAAUGAUGAAGGACUUCCUGACAUUGGAAUCAAUUUUCUCUCUUUUCUCUUGCAACUCUCAGUGCCUUUGUUUGUACACAAAUCAACUCUUGGAAAAGUCUUUGAAUUUUCUCAAAAGUAUCUUUCACAGAUCACGCACGCGUGGAAACAUAGCUGUGUUAAAAUCCUUAUUUAAGUUUUAAUUGGGCCUUGUAGUGGGCUUUGUAAUGUGCUUUUCUUUUCUCCUACAUUGCUUUAUAUAUACACCUCAGCGUUUGCUUUCUACAUUUCAUUUUACAAAAUACAUUCUCUCAUUUUCUACCUUUUAUAUUGUCUGAUUCCGUUCUCUCUUUAUUUUUUUUCAAAUCUCUUUUGCUUACAAUUUUUUUUUCUUUUUUAAGAAAUGUACUUUUUCAAGUUUAAUUUAAUUUUAUAAAACAGUCAUCUUUCUACAGUAUUAUCAUCUCUUACGUGAGAUUAUUAUAUAUUAUUUGGUGAUCUAAGUAAACUUUUAAUCCAAUAAACUUUAAAAAUAAUUCUAAUACUAUAUUAAAAAAUGAAAUUUAAAUCUAAUUCUAUUUUAUAAAAUAUAUUUAUUCAAUGCUAAAAUAUCUCUAAUUGAGUAGGGAUGUUCAAAAUACUUAUUGGUUCUUGAUUUUCACUUUCACUUUUAAGGUUUUUCUUCGCAGACACGUAGUAAACAGAAAUACAAAAAUAUGAGUCAAUGGAAGAGUCUAACGAUUCGCAGAAUAUUAUGGUGUCUAGCUUUAUACCGCAUUAAUGCGAGGAGUUUCUUUAAUAUUUUUACUCAAUUUAUUUAUUUUUAAUUCUUUUUUUUUUCACACCUUUUACAAAUAAAGAAUCGUAUUUCUUUAAUAUAUUUUAGAAAAUAACCACUAAACCUUAUUAUAAAAUAUAUUUAUGAAAUGCACGUGUAAGAAUAACAGGAAAAAUAUUACUACGAAAAACAAUAUAUUAAUAUUAAUAUGUUUCUUAAUAAAUUUCAUACCCACUGUCUAUUUAUAAAUUAAUAUAAUAUAAAUAUCUUUAAUGAUGUUUUUGUGGGUAGCUUAUUUCUCUAACGCAGAAUAUUAUGGUGUCUACUUUUAUAAAACAUUACAUUUUGAUUUUAAUAUUUAUUAAAUAUUUUUUAUUUGGGAUGAAGUAACGAUGAUGAAUCGAAUGUGUUUUGAAGUCUGACAUAACUUUUAGAGAUGUUAUGAGAACGGUUAAUGACGGAAAUUAUCAAAAACCUUUUGGGGGAAGGUUGUGGUUUUGGGAGGUGAUUUCAGGUAAAUAUUGUUAGUGGUAAAAAAAGGAUUAAGAUAUGAUGUUGUGAAGUCAACAAUCAACUUUUCUCAUUUGUGGUUAAAUUGUCGAGUCUUAAAACUUUCUCAAGGAAAUCCAACACGAUCUAUUGAUUGAGCCCACAAAAACACCUUUGUUAUCAUUGGUGAAUUUUGUUUAUCCUAAUUUAUUGACUGAUAUGUUAUGUCCUGAGUACUUUGAGUAUGGAGCAAUACUUUGUCCGACAACUGAAUCAGUAGAGCAAGUGAAUGAUUUUAUUUUAUCUCUGUUAAGUGGUAAAUAAAUAAAUUAUCUUAGUUCGGAUACACCUUGCCAAUUAGAUUAAGAUCAAGAAUUUAAAGUGAAUGGUUCACUUCUGAGUUCUUAAAUGAGAUAAAAUGUUCAGAGAUACUAAAUCAUCGCCUUCAUUUGAAAAUUGGCGUGCCUAUUAUGCUUUUGAGAAAUAUUGAUCAAACCAACGGUCUUUGUAAUGGAACAAGGUUGCAAGUUAUUGAUUUGAAGAAAAUGUUAUUUGUGCAAUAGUUCUAACAGGAACAAAUAUUGGUGAUAAAAUCUUUAUUUCAAUAAUGAAUUUGAUCCCUUUAGAUGUAGGUAUGCCAUUCAAAUUCUAGAGAAGACAAUUUCCAAUAACUUUAUGUUUUGCAAUGACAAUUAAGAAAAGUCAAAGUCAAUUAUUGACCAAAGUUGGUUUAUAUUUUUCACGUCCAAUUUUCACACAUUGAUAGUUGGAUGUAGCUAUUUAUAGAGUUAGAAAGAAAAAAAUUUAAAAAUUCUAACUCUUGAUGAAGAUGGGAAUGCAACAAACAAGAAAAAGAAAAUGUUUACACUGAAACUUUUGACAAUAUUUAAAAACAAUAGAAUUAUAUGAUAAACUUGGAAUAAUGGCUAAUUCUCCCUGCACCCAAUAUUUUUGAACAUGCAACUUUUAAAUUUGCUCCCUUGUAAUUAUAUUUUCUUAUGUGUGAUGUAGUAACAGUUGCCUUAUUUAAAAUGUUACUAAAUAACAUAUCAUUUAUAUCUGUUAUUUUUAUUCUGUUCUGAUUUUAUAUAUAUGUUAACGAAGUUGAGAAUUUUCUGAUUUUACAGGUCCAUGCACAAACCUAAUAUAAUGAUAUGAUAUUCAAUAUCAAGAGGUACUUGUCGUAAAACGGGGAAUAUGAGAGACUCCAUAGAAUGAAGAAAAAGUAUAAAGAGGAUUUACAAAUUACCCUUUCAAAUGCAGCUCCUCAGAAUUUCUUAAUGCCUUCACUGCAAAUGCAACCCAAAUAAGCUAAAGAAGUUAAUCAAACUAUACAUUAAGAGUUUCAAGAAAAUGAAACUCUGGAACAACAGAGCAACCCAUCUCAUGCUCAAUAGAAACAUCAAACUAUAUCUAACAAUAACUUAGAAAUCUUUGUCAACAAUUGAACGAACCCACUCCUAAAAUGCCAUUGAAAAUGUAAAUAAAUAAAUAAAAAUUAAAAAUGAGAAUUCAUAAUAAAAUUUCAUCGUGUUGAAACUUGUAAUUUAGAAGUAUUACGAUAAGCCAGUUUUGAUCCUCGCGAAUGAAAGACUAAUUAGCAGAAAGACUGUGCAAAAUUCCUUCCACUGGAUUCUUCGAUGUCAACUGAUUUGGUAUAAAGAGGACAUAUGCCGCAUUCUUUUAUUGUGAUAACUGAUUUCAACUCUCUCACAAGUAAUUUGCGAUUUGACCGAUUUGGCCGCAGAAAGGGAUCAUCAUAAUCAUGCGAACUGAUCUCAAAAGUGAAGCUGCGAGCAUCACACAGCCUAAGGCUCAUGCCGCUUGCCCUUAGGGACUCCAAGUUAAAUUUCCACACCAAUGUGUGAUCUUUAUCAACACCUCUCUCUUCAUCAUCCCAUCUGAAAUAGUUGUUUAACACAUCAUUAUUUGGAAUUAUCCGUGUGCCAUGAUCAUCAGAUUCAAAUUUUAGGCUGUAACCAAAGGAACCAUAUCUACCUUUAACAACUUUCGUAUCUAACACUUCAAAAACCACACACAAAGCGAAACCACUGAGCCUAUCAUCGCUUAAAAAACUUAAAUCUUCAUUUAUAGUCACUGAAUGUCCCUUCCCACGAAAAUGGAACCAACCAGGAACUGCACUCCCUGGAAAACAGAAGAACACACACCUAUAUCUAUCGUCGGUCAUCCUAAGCCUUGCAUCCUCCUCAAUGUUAGCACGACCACCUGAAUCCAGUUGUUGAGCAUUGGUCAAAAGAAAUUUGAAGAAACCCUCUUUGGAAUUUGACAAGUUUGGAACAAGAGAAUUGGACAUCACUCUUCUAAUGGAUGGGCAAUCCAAUGCCACUAGUUUUUUUAGAAAUGGUGGAAUCUCUGGGAUGCAUUCAAGCUUUUUGCAGUCGCUUAAAUCAAGCGAUUUCAAGCUUGAAAGAUGAGCAACGCUCUCAGGAAGGUUCACAAUUCCGCUAUCACACAGUGACAGUUCCAUUAAUGACGUCAAGCGACCGAUAUCUCUAGGGAUUUCUGUUAAUCUGGCACACCCCGAACAAUCAAGUUUAGAGAGAAGCUUGAGAUUAACAAUGGAGUUUGGAAGUGACUCCAGAUCAGUGCAUUUGCGGAGCUCCAGGGAUCGAAGAUUAACCAAAUUGGCAAAUGAGGAAGGCAGUUCUUUAACAGCCGUACAUAUCAAGUUAAUGUGAUCAAAAGUAGGAGCCGGCUCUGUGAUCUCUGGGAAGGUCCUCAGACUUGAGCAACCACACAAAUCAAGGUUCCUCAACUUCAAAUUGAAAAUGGUGCUUGGAAAAGUUUGUAGUGAACUACAGUGGGUAAGGUCUAACUUGCAUAGUCUGGUGAGGCUUCCAAUGGAAGAUGGAAUAAUCUCAAGAUUGAAGCAACUGCACAAACUCAGUUGUUGAAGCCCUACCAAACGGCACAAGGAUGAAGGUAGUGCCUGUAUGGCUGUGUCGUCUAAGAUGAGCACCACUAGAUCUUCCAACGUGUCCUGAAUCUGGGGUAAAUUUUCCAAUUUUGAGCAACCACGGAGUGAAAGUUGCUUUAGGAACUUCAUAU
rnacentral:lncRNA from 1 species